UUGGCCUCAAAUCAGGUAGGACUACC
rnacentral:rRNA from 2 species